rnacentral:rRNA from 1 species
UACGAAGGGGGCUAGCGUUGCUCGGAAUUACUGGGCGUAAAGCGCACGUAGGCGGCUUCUUAAGUCGGUGGUGAAAUCCUGGAGCUCAACUCCAGAACUGCCUUUGAUACUGGCGAUCUUGAGUCCGGGAGAGGUGAGUGGAACUGCGAGUGUAGAGGUGAAAUUCGUAGAUAUUCGCAAGAACACCAGUGGCGAAGGCGGCUCACUGGCCCGGUACUGACGCUGAGGUGCGAAAGCGUGGGGAGCAAACAGG